GUAAAGAUUAUAUACAGUUAUUAGAACCAUACAGAGAAGAUUAGUAUGGUCCUUGCACAAAGACAUGAAAAUCAGUGAAACAUUCUAUAUUAGA
ensembl:snRNA U6 U6 spliceosomal RNA